GGCUGUGAGACGGCUGGAUGUGGAGGUGUAGUAUGUUUGUACUGGGAAGUCCUUUUACAACUUAAACACUAUAAUAUAAAUAUUCAUGAGUGAUCCCUAAUUCUUAAGGGAAAAUCGCUCUUUCUACAAUUUCAUCCACAUUUGUCAUAUACUUUUCAUGGAUGAGUUUAAAAAAGAUGUUUAUUUCUCAAUUAAGCAUUGUCAAAG
rnacentral:misc_RNA from 1 species